rnacentral:rRNA from 1 species
GAUGCUCGAUCUUACCGGAGCAUCCGCCCGAGAACUACGAGCACUAACGCUUAAAACUCUAAGGACUUGGCGGUGUCUCAAACCCACCUAGAGGAGCCUGUUCUGUAAUCGAUAAUCCACGAUAUACCUGACCAUUCCUUGCCAAAAUUCAGCCUAUAUACCGCCGUCGCCAGCCCACCCACCAUGAAGGCCCAACAGUGGACGCAAUAGCCCCUCAACGCUAAUAAGACAGGUCAAGGUAUAGCCUAUGGAAUGGAAGCAAUGGGCUACAUUUUCUAAGCUAGAACAUUACGGCAAAGAGAUCUGAAAUGGUCUCUAGAAGGAGGAUUUAGCAGUAAAGUGGGACAAUCGAGCCCUCUUUAAGCCGGCUCUGAGGCACGUACAUACCGCCCGUCACCCUCAUCAAAAGCGACCCAUCCCCCCCCAUAAAUUAAUACGUUUCUCAGCCAAAGAUGAGGUAAGUCGUAACAAGGUAAGUGUACCGGAAGGUGUACUUAGGCAACCAAGACGUAGCUUUAACCUAAAGCAUUCACUAA